GACGAACGCUGGCGGCGUGCUUAACACAUGCAAGUCGAACGGAGUGGCGAACGGGUGAGUAACACGUGGGUGAUCUGCCUUGCACUUCGGGAUAAGCUUGGGAAACUGGGUCUAAUACCGGAUAGUGCAAGAUGAGCUCGCGGCCUAUCAGCUUGUUGGUGGGGUAAUGGCCUACGAAGGCGUCGACGGGUAGCCGGCCUGAGCGGGUGUACGGCCACAGUGGGACUGAGAGACGGGGCAGAGUGAUAGGGGAGGCAGCAGUGGGGAAUAUUGCACAAUGGGCGGAAGCCUGAUGGAGGGAGGGGGCGUGGGGGAUGAAGGACUUCGGGUUGUAAACUCAUUUCGACAGGGACGCGGUACCUGUAUAAGAAGCACCGGCUAACUACGUGCCAGCAGCCGCGGUAAUAC
rnacentral:rRNA from 1 species